rnacentral:rRNA from 1 species
GAUGCAUGCUCGAGCGGCCGCCAGUGUGAUGGAUAUCUGCAGAAUUCCCCCUUAUGGGGCGCAGCAGGCGGCUCGGUGUGUCAGAUGUGAAAGCCCACGGCUUAACCGUGGAAUUGCAUUUGGAACUGCCGGGCUAGAGUACUGGAGGGGAGAAGGGAACACUUGGUGUAGCGGUGAAAUGGGUAGAUAUCAAGUGGAACACCGGAGGCGAAGGCGCUUCUCUGGACAGAUACUGACGCUCAUGGACGAAAGCUAGGGUAGCGAAAGGGAUUAGAUACCCCUGUAGUCCUAGCCGUAAACGGUGUGCACUAGACGUGGGUGGAUUUACCCCCAUCCGUGUCUGAGCUAACGCAUUAAGUGCACCGCCUGGGGAGUACGAUCGCAAGAUUAAAACUCAAAGGAAUUGACGGGGACCGGCACAAGCGGUGGAGCAUGUGGCUUAAUUCGAUGCAACGCGAAGAACUUUACUUGGACUUGACAUAUAGUUGCAUACGACCCGAAAGGGACGCAGCCUUCGAGGGUGCUAUACAGGUGGUGCAUGGCUGUCGUCAGCUCGUGCCGUGAGGUGUUGGGUUAAGCCCCGCAACGAGCGCAACCCCUGUGUUUAGUUGCCAGCACGUAAUGGUGGGAACUCUAAACAGACUGCUGGUGAAAACCAGAGGAAGGUGGGGAUGACGUCCAGUCAGUAUGGUCCUUAUGUCCAGGGCUGCACACGUGCUACAAUGGGCGAUACAAUAGGAGGCUAAGCCGCGAGGUGGAGCAAAUCCUCAAAAUCGCCCCCAGUUCGGAUUGGAGUCUGAAACUCGACUCCAUGAAGUCGGA